rnacentral:misc_RNA from 1 species
AACGCACAUUGCGCCCCCCAGUAUCCUGGAGGGCAUGCCUGUUCGAGCGUCACUACAACACUCAAGCUCUGCUUGGCGUUGGGGCUAUAUAGGCGAGUUUUACUCGCUGUAUGCCCUCAAAAUCAGUUGGCGGGACCGCGAGGAAACCCGGACGAAGUAGAAAUUACAGCGUCAAGGGAUAACCUAGCUGGCCUCUAGCCAUUAAAACUCUUUUUAUAUCAGUGUUGACCUCGGAUCAGGUAGGAAUACCCGCUGAACUUAA